AUUGAACGCUGGCGGCAGGCCUAACACAUGCAAGUCGAGCGGAGCGGCGGACGGGUGAGUAAUGCCUAGGAAUCUGCCUGGUAGUGGGGGAUAACGUCCGGAAACGGGCGCUAAUACCGCAUACUAUCAGAUGAGCCUAGGGCGGAUUAGCUAGUUGGUGGGGUAAUGGCCUACCAGGGCGACGUUCCGUACCUGGUCUGAGAGGAUGAUGAGUCACACUGGAACUGAGACACGGUCCAGACUCCUACGGGGGGCAGAAGGGGGAAAUAUUGGACAAUGGGCGAAAGCCUGAUGCAGCCAUGCCGCGGGUGUGAAGAAGGUCUUCGGAUUGAAAAGCACGUUAAGUUGGGAGGCGUUACCAACAGAAUAAGCACCGGCUAACUACGUGCCAGCAGCCGCGGUAAUAC
rnacentral:rRNA from 1 species